rnacentral:tRNA from 1 species
GCGGGUGUGGCGGAAUUGGCAGACGCGCUAGACUUAGGAUCUAGUGUCUUCGAUGUGCAGGUUCAAGUCCUGUCACCCGCACCA